CCUUCUUGUGGCUGGGGGGCAAAGCGCGCGCGCACGGCGCCCAACGGACGGAGGGACUGGGCGAGUCUUUCCGACGGGCCGGCCGGGGUGAUUGCCGAUCGCGUGCUCGACCGCGACGUGGCCGACUACGUCCGCCUCCGCGCGGUGUGCCGUGCAUGGCGGCGGUGCUGCACCGAUCCACGCAUGAUGGAUGCCCUAGACCGCCGUCUCCACCCCCGGCACUGGAUCGUGCUCCCGGAGCAACUCUCCCCCGUCCACUGCCGUCGCUUCCUGAACCUCUCCACCGGCCAGGCCAUACGAGUGGAUCUCCCGGAGCUCAGCGGCCACAAGACGCUCACAUCGACCGCUGAGGGGCUCCUUAUCCUGGUGCACGACCGCAUCCACAUUCGACUACUGAAUCCGCUCACGCGCCACCUCAUAGAGCUUCCAUCGGUGACCACGUUGCUGCCUUUGGAAGAUGGCCACUAUCGCCGUGAGUUUUUCAACGGCCGACUAUUAGCGUGGGGUUCCUUCAUUGUCACCGAAUCUAUAUCAUUCCUGCUCUGCUUCUCCGGGUUCCUAGGCAUCGCCAAGACAGGUGACGAGUGUUGGAAGGUCAUACCGCGCGAAUACGGAAGAUUUUGGCCACGUUCAACUCCAUUGAUGUUCUCGGGCCGCUUAUACUGGGUCAUUGGGGACGAUCUCAUGGUGCUGGAAACGAGCGCGGAUCCACGGCUGAAGGUGGCAGCCAAGUUGUGUAAUCAUGUUUACACAGCGACUCAGUCGGCGCAUCUGGUGGACAACGAUGGGAAAUUGAUGUUGUUGCACUAUCAGCCUGCUAGGUCGCACUAUCAGCCUAGGUCGCACUUUGAGCCUCGCCCGAUGAGAAUUGACGUCUAUCGUGUGGAUUUUGAAAAGAAUGCCCUAUUCCCGGUCAAGGGAUUCAACGGCCGGGCAUUUUUUCUGGGCAAACUUUUCUGUUUUUCGGUGUGCACCAGGGUUUUCCCCUUUAUCAAGGGUAGCACUGUCUACUUGAGCUUUGAUUUCGAAGAGAGAAUCCACGAGAAUGUUGAGGCCUAUUAUGUUCCACAUCGAAGGGCCAAACCCAAUGACUGCAUCAUCUGGGACAAGUCCCUAAACUGGCCGCAUAGGGCCUUGCCGUCGCCGCAUAGUGUUGUCGAUUGUCUUUCCUUGUGC
rnacentral:rRNA from 1 species